UGAGUCGGGACAGCCUUCUUCCUCCGCCCAGCCACCACAGUGAUUUGUCGUCAAGUCUGCCACAGGAGGAUAUUUUGUUCUGGGUUAACCUGCUUUUAUCCUUCGCAGGUUGUUUAUCCAUGUUUGUGUAAUUUUAAUUACUCCUAGAAUUUUCGCAUGUGUUAGCAGUAUUUAUUUGAAUUUGGUCUGUAAUAUUUUUAUCAUGUUGGACCUGUAAACUUAAAUAUGUUAUGUAUGUUUGAUGGAUUGGAUGAGGGAGCUGAGCUCCCAUUUAUUUUAUGUUGAUGAGUAUGUGGAGGGUGAGCUGAGCUCCCCAAUUGAGUA